UACGUAGGGGGCAAGCGUUGUCCGGAAUCAUUGGGCGUAAAGCGCGUGUAGGCGGCCAGGUAAGUCCGUUCUGAAAGCCCGGGGCUCAACCCCGGGAGGCGGAUGAAUACUGCUUGGCUCGAGUCCGGAAGAGGCGAGUGGAAUUCCCGGUGUAGCGGUGAAAUGCGCAGAUAUCGGGAGGAACACCAAUGGCGAAGGCAGCUCGCUGGGACGGUACUGACGCUGAGACGCGAAAGCGUGGGGAGCAAACAGG
rnacentral:rRNA from 1 species